AUUGAACGCUGGCGGCAGGCCUAACACAUGCAAGUCGAACGAGUGGCGGACGGGUGAGUACUGUCUGGGAAACUGCCUGAUGGAGGGGGAUAACUACUGGAAACGGUAGCUAAUACCGCAUCCCAUCAGAUGUGCCCAGAUGGGAUUAGCUUGUUGGUGGGGUAACGGCUCACCAAGGCGCCGAUCCCUAGCUGGUCUGAGAGGAUGACCAGCCACCCGGGAACUGAGACACGUGCCAGACUCCGACGCGAGGCAGCAGGGGGGAAUAUUGCACAAUGGGCGCAAGCCUGAUACAGCCAUGCCGCGUGGAUGAAGAAGGCCGUCGGGUUGUAAAGUACUGUCAGCGGGGAGGCGUUACCCGCAGAAGAAGCACCGGCUAACGCCGUGCCAGCAGCCGCGGUAAUUC
rnacentral:rRNA from 1 species